rnacentral:rRNA from 1 species
UACGUAGGGUGCAAGCGUUGUCCGGAAUUAUUGGGCGUAAAGAGCUCGUAGGCGGUCUGUCACGUCGGCUGUGAAAACCCGAGGCUCAACCUCGGGCCUGUAGUCGAUACGGGCAAACUAGAGUACUGCAGGGGAGACUGGAAUUCCUGGUGUAGCGGUGAAAUGCGCAGAUAUCAGGAGGAACACCGGUGGCGGAAGGCGGGUCUCUGGGCAGUAACUGACGCUGGAGGAGCGAAAGCCGUGGGGAGCGAUCCGG